ACACGGACCAAGAAGUCUAGAAUAUGCGCGAGUCAAAGGGCUGGCUAAACCCCUAGGCGAAACGAAAGUGAAAACCUUUUUUCUUCAUAGGGCCGAUCCGGUUCGAGGUGCGCUGGCGGGAGUCUUCCCCCCGUGGUAGUAGUUUCUUCGGCGUUCGUCUCCUCACGGGGGCGGGCGUCGGGGUGCUGCUGCUGCGGGGCGUCUCCUUUACCUUCCCCUCGAUUUAUCUCCUUUAAGUAUGAGGACGGCGCAGGCUCGGGGCCCGCACGCGACCUCCUCGCCGCUAAUGCCAAACCGUUCGCAUCCUUCGUCGCUUCAGGCCCGUCGAAGCUUCGUCGCUUCCCCCGCUCACCCUGGCCGCCGCCGUCGUCGUUGCUCGCCUCUGUAAAGGAGGAAGGAGGGCGGCGGCGGUUGCACCAGGAUCGGGCGAGGGCGGUCGGCGUUGCCGAGACAUAGUCAGCAACGCGUCGUUCUGGGUCGUCGGUUCGCUGGCGCGGGACGAGCGGCGGGUUCUUAGAGCGCAUAUUCUAGUACCCGAAAGAUGGUGAUCUAUGCCUGGCCAGGAUGAAGCCAGAGGAAACUCUGGUGGAGGUCCGUAGCGAUUCUGACGUGCAAAUCGAUCGUC
rnacentral:rRNA from 1 species